AUAGUAAUAUACAGUAACUUACGUUUAUCGAACAAGUUAAGCUCAUUCGCCGACAUUUUUUAUGUUUGAAUUUGUGUAUCUCCGUAAAAAUUAGACCUAGAAAAAAACUGAUUGUAUCUGUGAACUCCUCAUCCAUUUUUCUUAAAAAGUAGACAUGUUUUAUUCUAUUACUACUCAUAGUUAAACUUAUAUUUGAUGUUAAAAUGGGUCAGGUUGAUGAUUUCAAAAGCUUAAAUUAUCGAACACUUUUUUAGCUUUAUCUUAUCUUAUCGAACAUAUUAAGAACUUAUCGAACACACGAGAAGUAUGGUGUUUUAAAAGUGUUAUAAUCUUAAAAUUUUGUGAAAAGUAUGGUGUUUCAAAAGUGUUAUAAUCUAUAUUUUUUUUUAUUUAUAUCAUUUUCUUUUUACGCCAUGUCAAGAAAGACAGAUUUUUAGUCAUUUUCAAAUGGUCCACAUCGAAGGAAUCUAUCACUGAUCAGCUCUGCUUAGAAACUGACGGUGCUAAGCCCAGUAACGCAUUACCGUAGUACUUAUUUAGGUCUAAGCUAUUUUGAGACAUAAGGCCAUUAAUAAAUUAAAUCCAGAUAUUAUUUAUUUGAGGGAGAGCCUAAUAAGCUUUGGUAGCCAACAGAUAAUCCCGCCCUCCCCAAGUCAUUGCAGGACACAACAGUUUAAUUGGUUGACCUAAAAACAAAACAUACGGUACGCGGCCCUAACUAGCCGCCGAUCUAGCACGCUCAGUGUAUGUAACAGCCCAAAAGUCAGUGCUAGAUAUUUUUCGAUCUGGGCGGGGAAGGGGGGGGGGUGCUGAAAAGCUAUGGUAGCUUGCAAGCUGUGUUACCUAUAGAUGUAGAUAAAUCCGCCCUCCCUAAACCACCUGGUUAACCAAAAAAAAAACGUAUUUUAGAGCACGCUUAGUAUUUGUCACACACACACACAAACAACAUAUCUAUAUAUACUACGUAUCUAUCAUGCCUAGUGUUUGUGACCUAAUUAGCGGCUUGACCGUAGGUACUCGACUGAUGGCUCCUCCCCCUUUCCCCUCAACAUUGUUCUUACUACAACUUGAACAAUGUUUUGGGGCUGUGUUGAUGGCCUGGUUUACACCUGUGUGUUACGCUAUCACUGACCUUUUUUUUUUGUUGUGUGUUAGUCUGGUGGCUGCGUUUGGAUUGAGUCUUGAAAUUUACGUUGUUACUUUGCACUGAAAAAGUGUGAAUGUUGGAGAGUGGAAGCGCGGGUAAGGGGGUGUAGGCAGAAUAGGAGAGUGGUUAAAUGCGUUAUUGUUAUUAUUUUGUGUAUUUGUGAUGUUUCAAAGGAGUGUCUUUGUAGCGCAUUAUGAGCUUUAUCAUACUUUAUGGCAAAUAUUUUAUAGACUCGGCGCCACACGUCUAGAUCGAGAAGCACAACUGACUAUGUAUUUGAGGCUGACGUCACAUUCUAAUGGUCGAUCAAUUAUUGAUGAUCUCUGGAUACAGUGUCUUGACUGUUUCUCUCCCCCACCCCCCGACCUUUUUUUUUUUUACCUGCCCAAGACAUUUUUAUUUCAAAAUACCAUAUCUGCAUUCUAUACCUCCCCCUUUGCCCUUUCGUUUUAUUAAUAUAUCUCUUCACAUCAAGCACAUGCGCUAGGUAUUGGUAUUUAUAACACAUGAUUCAGAAGUUAAUAGAAUCUGGCAAAUUCAGAAGUUAAUAGAAUGGGGCAAAUUCAGAAGUUAAUAGAAUGGGGCAUCUGAAAAAGAAACAACAACUGAAUACAUUCCACAACUGAAUACAUUCCACUCUGUUUCCCCCUGUAGUGGGCAGCAAAUGCCAUUUGCAUCAAGCUAUAAUAUAUAAUAUAUGUCAUAAAAUCAAGCUUUUAAAAUGGGUACAAUGGGUUGGUAGACAUAGUCACGUGAUUUGGGCACGGCAGACAUAUUGGUGGUAAAAAUCUGGUUUCUAUGCACAAUCAACAAACGCUUUCCCUUUUAGGCACUUACAACUUACUGUUACUUACCAUGGAUGAGUCGAGCAAAGAAAGAUGGCGGAAAACAGAUUGAGCUCUCAACAUUCUACUUUAAGGACCAUUUUUUUGACCAAUUUCAAAAUUACUUUUAUUGACAUAUUAUAUAUCAAAUUUAUUGCCCAAGAAUAGAGGAAUUCAAAAAAAAUAAAAUCAGAAGCAACAGACAAUUAUUUAACUUGAAAAAAUGAGGUCAAACACACUUACCCCUAAUAAUGAAAAAUUCCUCACUCACAGAAGAUAUGUCCCAUAGUCCAUGAAUUUCACAAAUUCACAAUAUUAUUUAUAGAAAAAUAUAUCCCAAAGUAAAGUAUAUUUAUAGAACAUUUGAAAAAAAUAUAAAAACAAGUUUUUUAAGUCAUUUAUGCAAAUUAAUUGAGCCACCCCAGACCCCACCCCCUCCGUAAAAAAAAUUAGGUUGCAAAUUAUACUUUAUCAUUAUCCUAAAUAACAAAAACAUAAUCAGUUUAGACAUAUUAUGUAUCAAUUUUAAUGCCCAAGAAGAGAGGAAUCCAAAAAAAGUAAAUUCAUUAUCAUCAGACAAGUAUUUAACAUAAAAAAAUGAGGUCAAACACACUUACCCCUAAUAAUGAAAAAUCCAUAAUUCACAGAAGAUAUGUCCAAUAAUCCAUGAAUUUCACAAAUUCACAAUAUUAUUUGCUUAAAACUAUGUCACAAAGUAAAGUAUAUUUAUAUAACAUUUGAAAAAAAAAACAACAACCUUAAAAAGUAUUUAUAAUUAAUAAAUAAGCCCCCUCUUCGGCCCACGCUACCAAUAAAAAGUCUUUUUUUUUUCUCUUAUCUUCAUGUUUUAACAUGAUACUAUUUAUAUCAAUUUUAGAUAAAGGUUAUAGAUAUGUAUAAUUUUAGACUAGAAAAGAUCUAAUAUUAAAUGAAAUAUUAACAAGAUUUAGAUCUAUUCUAGUUCUUGAUCACUUUUUAGAUCUAGGUCUAGAGUACUCUACUUAGAGUUAGACCUAAUAAAGCUUAACUUGCAUGGUGCAUGAUCUAUAUCUAUUGACUAUUCUGUUUACUAUCUCAAAUAAUCUCAAUCUUUGUAUCUGUAGUAACUGUUGCUGAGAAAAAAAUAAAAACAACUUUUAUAAUUUGGUUAAUAUGUGUUUGUUGUUAUUUUUAACUAUGUCACUAUGUCUAUUGAAUCUCUUCUACUCUUGUUUAUAAUUGACUAGGUCACUAGAUCUAUCUAGAUUUUUUCCACUUUAACUUUAAGUAAUUUUUGAUGUAGAUCUAGAGAUCAGAUCUAAUUUAACCCUACUGAGUUUAUAAGAUCCUAUGAAUUAGAUUUAGAUAUAUAAAAUCUUAGAUCUAAUCUACAUUUAGAUUCCUAGAUCCACACGUGUACAUCGCUAAUUGACUAUCUACUAGUAGUACUAGUUACUAGAUCUAGAAAUGACUAGAUAGUAGAUUUAGAUCUCAUAUUUUUUUCCAUUUUAAAAUCUAGUCCUAAGUCUUACUAUGAAUUAUAUUUAGACGUAGAUAUAAGGCUAUAUAAAUUAUAUAGAUCUAAGACCUAGAGUCUACAUUUAGACUUAGACUAGAUCACUACGGUCUUGAUUCUUGAUCCACGUGUGUACAUCGCUACUUGACUAUCUACUAGAAAUGACUAUAUAUAAUAAAUAUAGAUCUAAAUCAUCUAGUUCUAGAUCUAAUCUAUCCUGAUAAGAGAAUUUAGAUCUAGAUCAGUAAAUAUUUAAAUAAUUUCACGCUUAUUAACUCUAAUGACUAGAUCUAGACUAAUCUAAUCUCAGAAUCUAAGUCCAGUGACCUAGAUCUAGUCCUAGACCUAGAGAUCGAUCUAUGUCUAACUAAUCUAAAAGCAUUUCGCUAGAUUGAUUUUAAAAUAUGGUUAAGAUCUAGUCUUUAUAGAUCUAGAUCUGUAGAAACUAUUAUAGAUCUAGAGAUAGAUUAAUUUAGAUCUAAAAUCUAAGUUCAAAAUGUGCCCCCCCCCCCUCGCGCUGAAACAUCGCAUUGCCGGGCCGAUUUUAUGACGCAUGCAAUGCACCAAUAUUAAAGUAAAAUAAUUGCCGUAGUAGUCGAUAUUAAUUUAAAAAUUAUAGGUUUUUAGCUUUUACAGACUAGGAUCUCAAUUCAGAGGUGCACCUUCAGGUUGACUAAGUCAAAACGCGUGUUUUGUUUUUUUUUCACCGCGCGCGCCUGGCUUAAGAUAGAUACCCGUGUUCCCGUCCUUGAAGUUAAUUAUUGAAGAUUACGACAUCCUAUUAUUAAAGCAGAAUAAUUAACUAAGCAGUUGAUAUUAUGAACUGAAUUAUCUGUAAUAGAUUCUGUCUAUAAUUACCUUUGCUAGAUGCUAUCGCUUCGAAUUAUUCUGAGCGAAUGAUUUUUUAAAAAAGCACAUUGAAAGGGAGGUCAUGAAGUUAGUUCCGGCGACCUCCAUUCUCAUUGGUUUAAAAAAAAACGAGAUUUUAUAAAUAUUUUUUUUUUAAAUAACCAAAAAUAAAAAAAUAAUAAUAAAUUAUUAUGAUGGAAAUACAAAAAUAAGUGUUUUACAGCGAAAAUCGGCAAAAUAUAAAUAAUAUUUAAAAAAAAAUGUACACAUUGUUUGGCGACAUCACAAAUUCAAAAAUUGCAUCGAGGCUAUUUUUUUUCAAAUUUAAGACAAAAGAAGCAUUUUAUUUACUUUUUUUUUUCUUUACGGUGUGCAACAAUCAUUUUUAAAUACUAAGUAUGUAUUUUAUACAUGAGUUAUAUUUCUAAAAUAUGUUUCUUACCUUUUGAAAUGGGAUCACAUAAAUCCAAAAGUAAAUGUUGUCUGUCUUUUUGGCAAUACUUCAUGAUAUUCACAAACGCACAAAUUCAAUAUAAAAACGAAUUUCACAAAAAUUUUGCUAAUGAAGCUUCCAGAAACAUAGAUCUAUCCAUCAGUAAAAGCAAAUAUACCACAGAUGGUCUAUAUUCAGAGAUAAUGAAUAUUGAACUCGAAAAAUGCAUUUUCAAUAGAGAAUCUGUUUUCCGCCAGAUAUAGUAAGAAAAUUUCAGAAAUAAAUAAUAUUGAUCCUUACACUUUAAAAGCAAGCCAGUGUAAUAAAGAAAACGAUUUGCUGCCCUACUUGUGUUAUCCAGAUCUCUUCACUUAGAACUUAGACUUAUUAUCUUGUUCUACUGACUACUGGACUGAAAGUGCUUGGCUUACACAAUCACAAAGGAUGAAUUCAAGGCUUACAAGACUUAAGCAGCCUACAACCAGUUCCUAGAUGGCUGGGUUCAAGAUUUUAUGGCUUAUAAACCACACAACUACCCAAAUACUGUUGUACUAGAAAAGGUUCUUCACUCUCAGCGGUUAGCAGAAAAGGUAUUGCAGCCCUGGAUAGUAAUAAGUCAAGAUGGUAUUAUUCUAUCAGCCCACUGUUCUUGUAUAGCUGGACUUGACGAGUCCUGCACUCAUGUGGCAGCCACUUUAUUUAUGCUGGAAGCCAACACCAGAGUAAAAGAGAGUAAUAAAGACAGUUACAGGCGUGUCAUCUUACUGGACCAAUCCAUCAAAGCUUUAAAAAGUUUUGUCAACUAAGGUUUCUCAGAUUGAUUUCACCUCAUCAAAAACAAAAAAAAAGUUAAAUUUGAUUCUCUUGUGGACAACAUCGCUUCUAAAAAUAUAAAUUCAAAGGCUAUUAAAUCCAGAGAAACUAUAAAGCUUAGUAUACAUUCUUUUAAUUCAUUUAUUGAAAGUAAUGAGAUAACACCUUGAGAUGUUAUUCCAAUCAGAUAUUUUACUGUGUUGUUGAAAGAAUACGUUUGUGCCUGUGCUUUAAUGCUGCUAGGUCUCUCAUUGAAAAUUUCAAAACAGGCAUUUAUUACUAGGAUGUAAAACAUUUUACUGUCACUUUCCUGCCAUAAGUAUGAAUAAAUUCUUUGGGCAUUGUCUUUCUGAGACUCUCCUUAUUGGGCCAGAAAAUCAAAUCGAACAUGUUGACAUACAUAAGAUAUAAAAGGUUUAUGAAGAUCUUAGAGGCAGUUGUGGGAUGAAUUUUAAACAUAUCAGCUAAUACAUAGGCAGGUUUACCUAGAAUAUUUGUAAUAAUGUGUGUUAAAAAAAUAAUUUGUGUACAUUCAUAAUUAAGGUAGUUAAAUUAAAUUAUAUAUAUGUGUAAAUGUGAGACAGUGCCUGUAUUAUAUCCAAGCUAUCCAAUGAGAAAUAUUUAUAUAAUUUAAUAUAUAGAUAUAUUUAUUCAAAUCAUAUAAUGCAUUCAUUUAUUUGUGGAAAUAAAAGAAAUGAAUUUAAA